rnacentral:lncRNA from 1 species
CCAUGUUCAAAUUCCAAUAACUUUUAUCCAUAGUUCCCCUUCAACUGCAAUAUUGGGGAAGGGGGGGGUUUCAACGACACCGAUUUAUCUUGGGCGUGGUUUUAAUCUUUUGAGGCAAACACAGUCUCGCCUGUGAUCUUCAGGGAACAAAAUCCAACCAUCGAUGGAGGGGGGGGGGAGGACCAAAGCGAGCCACCAUCGUGCUCGUUUAAUCUUCCAUCUCCUGCUGGACUCAGUACCUUAUUCUUACCCAGGCGGACCCAUCGAAGACACUUCAGCCAGCAGGGAGCAGGGGAAAGAGGCUGGUUUUGGGGAAGGGGGCUGCUCGGAAAGUGGCCUUUCUCUUCAGGCAGUGGGAGGAGCUGCUCUCCCACCUUUGCAAAGCGCAGAAGAGGAGCGGGGUGAGGAGGGGUGUGUGUGUUUGAAUCGUCUCCAAAGAGAGGAGCAGAGGAAGCGAGAGGGAGAAAAAGAACUGAUGGCUCUAUUUGACCACUGAAAACCAACAGAGAACCAGCCGGUCGGCCUCCUUCUUUGCUUCCCGGGGGAGGAUCUGGGAACACAAGAAGCCGAAGGCCGUUUUAUCCCCACUCAAGUUACUUCAAAGGACGGCACCAUGGAGACAGCCCCGCGGAACCAGCCAGAGGCCAAGAGUUUAGAUAAGGAGGGAGCUUCUGCAAGGAACUCGAAAAAUCCCAGCCGGCUCUACCGAAGGUCCAUCAAAACACAGAUUGAGAAACGCCGCAGGGCCCGCAUCAAUGCAAGCCUAGAACAAUUGAAGAAGCUACUUCAACAGCCAGUGGAUCAACAGGACACUAAAGCCAAGUCACAUUUGGAGAAAGCUGAGAUCCUGGAGAUGACGGUGCAACAGCUUCGCCAGCUCAAGCAGCAAGGUAUGGUUGCUGUUUCUUCUUUCCAAGAUGGGCAAGAUUUUGCUGCUGGUUACUGUCACUGCCUUAAGACUGUCCACUUCUUCUUGACCUCAGCCAGUUCCUCUCCAAGUCAAGACAAGGCAUCACAAAUCUUGAAGUACCUGGAAGAGACUUCAGCUUCCAUAGACUGGAAAACGCACAAGCCAGAUUCUCUCUCCAUGCCUCAGUCGGCCUUUCUAUCGUCAUCUCCUUCUCUGCAACCUGCAGGGACAUCUUUUUCAGACUCUUACACCUUCACUGUUCGAUCUCGGCUGCAUCCUUCUCUGGUUUCUAUGCUGCUGCCCCAAGUGCACGUGACUUGUAUUCAGCCAGCAUCACCUGCAACUACCACCCAUAUAUGGAGACCGUGGUGA